AUAUAGAUAUACCUAGAUAACGCGAAUGCACCUACUUCGCGUGUCCCGGUCCCGAUAAAUCAUCGGAAGGAGCUGCCGCUGCUUACAGUCCACGCGCGUCUGUUGUUGCAUGCGGACCGGCCGCGAAAACUAGAAAAAUGCCUCAAUGUGUGAUAAUAAAUUGCAAUAAGCCAAAAACUUCGAGCUCCCAAAGGCAAGGACAUAUUUCCUAUCACGGGAGGUAAACGAGCAGACGGAUCACCUGAUGGUAAGUGAUUACCGUCGCCCAUAGACACCCGCAAACCCAGGGGCGUUACAGUUUCCCACAAGAUGCAAUAUUAAAAGAAAAAUGGAUCGCGGCUACGGGACGGAAAGACUGGUUUCCGACAAAACAUAGUACCAUUUGUUCAAUUCAUUUUGAAAGUACCUGUUUUGAACCUUCAAAAAAGAAGAGAUUGUUAAAAAAAACGGCAUGCCCCACUAUACAUAUUAUGUAUGUAUUUUCAUGUAAAAGUACUAAUAAAGUAAAGUACAUAAUAAUGUGUGUACAAACUUAUAAGAAAUAAUGAUCUGCUGAUGAUGUUGUAGAUUGUAGAGAAAUGAAUACAAGUAGUGUACGUGAUUUUGAUGAUUUUUAUAAAACAUUGCCACAAAUCAGAAUUUUGUGACCAAAUAAUCA